GACGAACGCUGGCGGCGUGCCUAAUACAUGCAAGUCGAACGCAUUUUCUUUCACCGUAGCUUGCUACACCGAAAGAAAAUGAGUGGCGAACGGGUGAGUAACACGUGGUAAACUGCCCAUUAAGGGGGGAUAACACUUGGAAACCGGUUCUAAUACCGCAAUAUUCCAUUUUCUGCCUGGUAGAUGGAUGAAAGGCGCUUUUGCCUCACCGAUUGAUGGACCCGCGGGGCAUUAGCUAGUUGGUGGGGUAACGGCCUACCAAGGCGGCGAUGCAUAGCCGACCUGAGAGGGUGAUCGGCCACACUGGGACUGAGACACGGCCCAGACUCCUACGGGAGGCAGCAGUAGGGAAUCUUCGGCAAUGGACGCAAGUCUGACCGAGCAACGCCGCGUGAGUGAAGAAGGUUUUCGGAUCGUAAAACUCUGUUGUUAGAAAAGAACAAGGAUGAGAGUGGAAAGUUCAUCCCUUGACGGUAUCUAACCAGAAAGCCACGGCUAACUACGU
rnacentral:rRNA from 1 species